UCAUUCUGUCAGUUGAUACCACGGAAAUGAUUCUGAUCUGUGCUCCCUUGUAGAUUGGGAUGCUAGAAAUGUUUUUCUGGCACCUUGGCUGGAAGAUAGAUUGGAUCCAGAUGUGUCUGCCGAGGGGAAUUUUCCAGCUCCUGGGCUGGAUGAAGCACGCAAGCCCGACUACCAUGGCAGGGGUCCUCCAACAGGACAGACCCACGCUAAAGGAGAAAAUGAAUCCCUGACGCCUUCUGAACUUGUGGACCAGAUGCUGAAUGAUCUGGAGAGACGUGAAAUGAAAGGACAGCCUGUGCAAAAGGAAGCAUCUCAUGGAGGAAGCAGUGGUUCCGUGCCAGCCUCGGCUGCAGAAAGGGAGGCCAUGCCAGAUUGGGAUCCUGAUAUGGAUUAUUUGGAAGUCCUGGUGCAUAACCAUUUUAAGUCCUUGGAGGAUGCUGGAGGCAAGUUCAGUGUGACUUUCCUGACAGAAUAAUC